UGUAGUAGUGAAUUAUGGCUUAUUCUCUUUACCAGUUAUGUUAUUGGUAGAGGAGGAAACUUGACUAUGUUGAUGCUAGCCUUGGUGCUUUCCCGCGAAGUGCCUCCGCUAUUUCAGAAGGUUUCACGAUUGCUAGCUAGCUGCGGUACUUUCAUUUUUGGCAUCAAAGGACCCGUCCCGUUUGUUGUUUGGUGUGAAUGUUUUAGAAUUGGCUUCAAAUAUGCAGCAAGUUUCACAGGGUUCGCGCAUCAAUGUAAUUAGCAAGGGGGGAUCAAAGACACAGACUCCUAGCCUUGCACCUGACUCUAUUGAUGGAUUCCCAGACUUUGUAGAAGAUUUUUUCAGAAAAAUUCCUCCCAGGUUAAGGAUUAUCUGUAUAAUUGUACUCAGACAAUCUUAUGCUCCACUAUUUAAACCAUUGUUCGGUUCAU